GCAGUUUCCUGUUAGUAAAAAACCCCAACUGGCAGUCUGUUAUUGUCACAUCUUUGUCCACAGCGGUUCUAGUGAGCAUCGGCUUUCUGUUCAUUUAGUUUCUCAGUCAUGGACAAAACUGUGCUGCUCCUGCUGUACCUGCAGGUUGUUCUGCUCAUCACUGCCUUUCCUUCGGACGCAGCUGGUCAAGUUGUAGUGAAAGGUCCAGAUCAGGUAAAAAGAUCCGCAACAGCAAUCAAACAGGUGGCAAACAGGACGGUCAACCCAUCAAAGAAAAAAAUACAGAAGAGAAAGAGACCUGGAAUGUGGGGCCCAUUGGGCCAGUAGUUUACCCAUCAUACAUUGCUGCAACCAGAAACUCCUUCCUGCAUUUUUCCAUUGACCUGGGUGCUUCAAUAAUCAACGCAUAUAAACUAUCAAAACAACAGAUUCUCUGCAAACAUGUUGCAACAUUGCAGUUGGUGCAGCGGUCACCUCGCAUACAUGACCAAAAUAGACAGAUGUUUGAGCCAGCUCACUAGAUUUCUCUGAAAAGUCAGAAAUUAAACACAAAUAACAUUUAACCACUAAAACUAAUUUCGGAAGUAAAUAUAAGGCUGAGUAUUAGGGCCACAUUAGGAAAAUAAAAUAUUUUGAUCGAUUUGAGAAUAAAGUCAAACUUUCAAGAUUAAAUUUGAAAAUCUAUUUUGAGCAAAGCAUCGAAAUGUUGUUGUUUCAAGACAAACUGCCAUGUUUCUUAUACCCUAUACAAAAUGCCUUGUGUAGAUGAAUUAGCUAUUUCAAAUUGUACAAAUCCACUCUUCCAAGUUUGUGUGUUUCCGUCUGACCAGAUGCAGCUUUCUGCACCAUCAUUUCAACGUCCUUUUACUUAUCACCAUAAUAUGUUUGUGUGCUAAAAGAAAAAUCAUUUCCUUCCUUGUUACUUAAGCCAAUUCUGAAGUGCAAUUUCACUCAGAGGGUACAGCAACCAUGGCUGAUUGUAAUUCUAUUUUGUUUCAAGACAAUGUUAUUCUCAAAAUGAUCAUUAAUAUUUUUUUAUCUUUAUGUGGCCCUAAUACUAGUUUGUAUAAAUAACCUUGGCAUCUUAAUUUUUUUUAAAACUCCUAAAGCACUUAACUGUUUUCAGGUUUUUUUGGUAAAACUAUGAAUUUGAAAAAUCGUAGAUAACAACAAUAAUUAUUUUUAUGUUAUAAAAAUGUAUAAACAUUGCAUGUUGGAGGAUUAACCACAGGAACAUAAAAAGUGGUUUUGGUAAACCUUCCACUGGAUAGUAAUAAUAAUUUUGUUAAGUACUGCAUGUGCUGAGUAUAAACUGGACUAAUAAAAUAUUUAAUGCACUUCACAUUUGUGUGAAUUAGACUGAUAUUCUGAAAAGAAGCUGUGUAGUAAAUUGUAAGAUUAUCAGAUGAUGACAAAUAAAAAGAUAAGAUGGUGUUAAACACAGUGCCAGAAAAUCAGAUGAGUGAGUGUAAAAUGUACUGAUUGACACCGUGUUUGUUAUUCUAGAUGAAUAUUUGCUUCUCCUUCAAACCCCUGACUCACUGACUUUGAAUAACUGUAAAACUUCCACAUGUCUUCUGAAAAUUUUAUUCAGUAACUUACUGACUUACCUGUGUUGGUUUUAAGACAGUGAAAGAAGAUUUUUCUAAUCACUGUAUUUUACCAAAAAAAAAAAAAGUUUGAUCAGACAAUCUGUUCUUGCACUGAGUAUGCAACAUCAAAACACAAGACGCUUUUCUAUAUGCAAUAAAAUCCCUAUUUUCUUUGUAA